rnacentral:rRNA from 1 species
AGUGAACGCUGGCGGUAGGCCUAACACAUGCAAGUCGAACGGCAGCACAGGAGAGCUUGCUCUCUGGGUGGCGAGUGGCGGACGGGUGAGGAAUACAUCGGAAUCUACUUUUUCGUGGGGGAUAACGUAGGGAAACUUACGCUAAUACCGCAUACGACCUACGGGUGAAAGCAGGGGACCUUCGGGCCUUGCGCGAUUGAAUGAGCCGAUGUCGGAUUAGCUAGUUGGCGGGGUAAAGGCCCACCAAGGCGACGAUCCGUAGCUGGUCUGAGAGGAUGAACAGCCACACUGGAACGGAGACGCGGUCCAGACUCCUACGGGAGGCAGCAGUGGGGAAUAUUGGACAAUGGGCGCAAGCCUGAUCCAGCCAUACCGCGUGGGUGAAGAAGGCCUUCGGGUUGUAAAGCCUUUUUGUUGGGAAAGAAACCCAGCUGGCUAAUACCCGGUUGGGAUGACGGUACCCAAAGAAUAAGCACCGGCUAACUUCGUGCCAGCCGCCGCCGUAA